CCGUUUCCAGUGAACAGAUCAUCAUGGAAGAAGUGAAACCAUCUAACUAUGCCAACAAAGAUGAGCAUGAGGCUUUACAGAGCACUGAAACAAAGAGCGGCGACACUUAUCAGCCAGGAAGAAGACUCCUCAGAAUCUGUGUUUUAACUUUGGGGGUGGUCUGUAUCCUACAAGCUGCUCUCAAUGUCUCCCUGCACCUUGCGUUUUAUAAAAAAGAAGGGACAGACAAUUCAACCCAGUUGUUGGCCAUUUGCAACGAAGAGCUGGGAAGAUUACAGGGGAAAUAUAUCAACCUGGAAGCAGAGCGAGAUCGUUUAAGGGACUUAGUCAGACAACUAAAUACGGAGAAUGUACUGUUGC